GAUGAACGCUGGCGGCGUGCAUAACACAUGCAAGUCGAACGGUGAAGCAGGAGCUUGCUCUUGUGGAUCAGUGGCGAACGGGUGAGUAACACGUGAGCAACCUGCCCCUGACUCUGGGAUAAGCGCUGGAAACGGCGGCUAAUACUGGAUAUGUGAUGUGACCGCAUGGUCUGCAUCUGGAAAGAAUUUCGGUUGGGGAUGGGCUCGCGGCCUAUCAGCUUGUAGGUGAGGUAAUGGCUCACCAAGGCGUCGACGGGUAGCCGGCCUGAGAGGGUGACCGGCCACACUGGGACUGAGACACGGACCAGACUCCUACGGGAGGCAGCAGUGGGAAUAUUGCACAAUGGGCGGAAGCCUGAUGCAGCAACGCCGCGUGAGGGAUGACGGCCUUCGGGUUGUAAACCUCUUUUAGCAGGGAAGAAGCGAAAGUGACGGCACCUGCAGAAAAAGCACCGGCUAACUACGUGCCAGCAGCCGCAGUAA
rnacentral:rRNA from 1 species